UACGUAGGGAGCAAGCGUUGUCCGGAAUCAUUGGGCGUAAAGCGCGCGUAGGUGGCCACAUAAGUCCGUUGUGAAAGUCAAAGGCUCAACCUUUGAAAGCCGAUGGAUACUGUGUGGCUAGAGUACGGAAGAGGCGAGUGGAAUUCCCGGUGUAGCGGUGGAAUGCGCAGAUAUCAGGAGGAACACCAAUAGCGAAGGCAGCUCGCUGGGACGUUACUGACACUGAGGCGCGAAAGCGUGGGGAGCGAACAGG
rnacentral:rRNA from 1 species